rnacentral:rRNA from 1 species
GUCCUCGAGCGUAUGGGGCUUUGUCACCCGCUCGGGAAGGAUCUACGGGCGUUGGUCUUCCAUCAUUUUUCCACGGUUGACCUCGGAUCAGGUAGGAGUUACCCGCUGAACUUAAGCAUAUCAAUAAGCGGAGGAAAAGAAACCAACCGGGAUUGCCUCAGUAACGGCGAGUGAAGCGGCAAGAGCUCAAAUUUGAAAUCUGGCCCCUUUGGGGUCCGAGUUGUAAUUUGGAGAGGAUGCUUCGGGUGCGGCCCCUAUCUAAGUGCCCUGGAACGGGCCGUCAUAGAGGGUGAGAAUCCCGUCUGGGAUGGGCGGCCGUGCCCGUGUGAAGCUCCUUCGACGAGUCGAGUUGUUUGGGAAUGCAGCUCUAAGCGGGUGGUAAAUUUCAUCUAAAGCUAAAUACUGGCCGGAGACCGAUAGCGCACAAGUAGAGUGAUCGAAAGAUGAAAAGCACUUUGAAAAGAGAGUUAAACAGCACGUGAAAUUGUUGAAAGGGAAGCGUUGGCCACCAGACGCGCCCGAGGGGGUUCAGCCGGCACUUGUGCCGGUGCACUCCCCCCCGGGUGGGCCAGCAUCGGUUUGGGCGGUCGCUGAAAGGCUCCAGGAAUGUAGCACCCUCCGGGGUGCCUUAUAGCCUGGGGUGUCAUGCGGCCCGCC